rnacentral:rRNA from 1 species
CACGUAGGGGCCAAGCGUUGUCCGGAUUUAUUGGGCGUAAAGAGCUCGUAGGCGGCUCGGUAAGUCGGGUGUGGAACCUCCAGGCUCAACCUGGAGACGCCACCCGAUACUGCUGUGGCUAGAGUCCGGUAGGGGAGCGUGGAAUUCCUGGUGUAGCGGUGAAAUGCGCAGAUAUCAGGAGGAACACCAGCGGCGAAGGCGGCGCUCUGGGCCGGAACUGACGCUGAGGAGCGAAAGCGUGGGUAGCAAACAGG